rnacentral:tRNA from 1 species
CGGGAAGUAGCUCAGUUUGGUAGAGCACUUGGUUUGGGACCAAGGGGUCGUAGGUUCAAAUCCUGUCUUCCCGA